rnacentral:tRNA from 1 species
AAAAAUUUAGUUAAACCCGUAUAACAUUAACUUGUCAAGUUAAAAUUAUUAUUUAAUAAUAAUUUUUA